UACGUAGGGGGCAAGCGUUGUCCGGAAUCACUGGGCGUAAAGCGCGCGCAGGCGGCGAUCUGCGUCUGGGGUGAAAGCCCGGAGCUCAACUCCGGGAUUGCCUUGGAUACGGGGUCGCUUGAGGAUCGGAGAGGCAAGGGGAAUUCCACGUGUAGCGGUGAAAUGCGUAGAGAUGUGGAGGAACACCUGUGGCGAAGGCGCCUUGCUGGCCGAUUUCUGACGCUGAGGCGCGAAAGCGUGGGGAGCAAACAGG
rnacentral:rRNA from 1 species